UCCACAGUCUGUAGUGUACUCUGUACAUACACCACUUGCCCCGAGAGCUCAGAGGUUGUCAAGCCUACGCAAGUGCAGAAGAUGGCCGAGCACCACCACCUCCCGCCGGAGCACCCCGACCACCACCACCACAAAGGCGGGAGGAAGGGGGUCUACGCCGACGACGUCAAGCCCGGCUCGCGCGGCCGCUCCCGGUACAGCUACUACUACGGCGGAUACGGGGACGGCGGCG
rnacentral:lncRNA from 1 species